CGAAAAAUACCACGUGUAAAAAAAAAAUUUUCGUCAACGUCCAUUGAUUGAUUACCAUACAAAUUCUAUAUAAUAUUAUAUUGGAACCUACCUAACACCGAAAAAUUAGAGUAGCAGCCACAUAAGACGCGUGUGUAGUACGCAUUGAUCACCUAUACGCAUAAGUUUCGUUUGCCUGUGCAGAUACGAGGACGUACCAAUAGGUACUUAGAGGUUACAUUAUGAAAACUCAAAGAAUAAAAUUACAAUAUUGGUACCUAUAUUGAAAAUAUCAGCUAUAUUUUGGAGGUAUUUUUGUAUGCCCGUUGUCAAGAAUUAUUUCACUUUUUCGGUCUCCGAAUUCAAUCGUCAAAAGAUAUAAAACAAUGCGAAUAGAAAAUAUCAGCUAAUGGUUAGAGGUAAAAAAAAAACUGUUUCAUCAAUAAAUGAGUACUACACAAUGCAAAUAAGUUUUAACAAAC